UUCUACAUGUUGAUACCCAGUUAUGCCAGCACCAUAUGUUAAAUAUGCUUUCUUCUUUCUAUAUUAUAUAUUUUUGCUUCUUUGUGAAAAAUAAGGUAUUCGUAGGUGUUUAGACUGGGUCUUUGAUGUGGUUUAAUUGGUCCUCCUGUCUGUUCUUAUGCCAAUACCAGGCUGUUUUCAGUACUGCUGCUCUGUAGUAGAGCUUGAAGUCAGGGAUUGUGAUGCCUCCAGAAGUGAUGAAGUCUUUCCUAACCUAGACACUAUAGCAAUGCAACGUUUUCAUUUGGAUUUGGCAGAUCUUUGGGACUAAUUCUGUGGGCAUACCUUAGCCCUGGAUGAUGACAUCAGCAUCCUUUUUGUUAGUUUCCAUGCCAGAUGCAAAGCUGCUGUUAAAGUGUAAACCUGCCCGCAAGUUUUCUGUACAUGUUAAAGAACUCGAUUGUUCAGUUUUCAUGACGAUUGUAUAAAGACAUCGGAUAGAGAUGGCUGUCUCUCCCAGACCAAGUCAAUGACCUUUCAAUGUACUUGGGUUCCACAUCACAGCGUGACUGCACGGCUACCUGCUGAGACCCACUUGUGACCAAUUCAUUGCUAAGCUAUACUGGAGUGUUUUGCAAUUCUGUGAUUCAACCCAGUUACUAAAAGACACAGUGACACUGGACCUGUCCAAACAUCAUCUGAUUGCUGGGAAAGAAUGUUGAGAUCCCUGCCCAAAGCAUCACUCCUGCUUUCUACCAGCACGUGAUCUGGGGCAAAGCGUCUAUCUUCACUAACUGUGACCAAGCACAAGCAUAGACCCUCUGAGACUUAAGACCAAGACAUCCCAAAAGCUACCCACAGCAAGCUACCCUUCAUGCAAUGAGUCAAUUGAUGUGGGAUUCCCCUCUGUAUUCUGUGAAUACCACUGGUUAAUAAAGAAAACUGCUUUGGUCUAUAACAAGGCAGAACAGAACAAGAAUAAAACUAAACUGAAUUCUGGGAGAAAGAAGGCAGAGUCAGGGAGAUGCCAUGGAGCCGCCAGAAGAGAAAGACGCAAGCCACUGGCCAGAACCUUGCCAGUAGGCCACAAGUCCUAUGGUAAAAUAUAAAUGAACAGAAAUGGGUUAAUUUAAGAGGUAAG